GUCCCAUUGAAAAGCUCUCUUAAUCAAACCCAAUUAAUUCCGCUUUUUUCCCUUAUUAUCCUUUGCAAGGAACGCGUCUUUCCAAUAAGACUGUUAACUCCAGCCGUGGCGCUUUCAGAUCUACUCGGGUGCAGGAGCAAAAUAAUAGACUGCACAAUUAAUCAAUUAGUCAUUAGGGUUUCAGUUGUUCCUAAUGAACACAGUUGCUGUGUAGAAGAGGGGCGUUAGAGAGGCCUCAGAGUUCCUCGUCUUUCUGUUUGGAAAUGUGUCUACAAGUUGAAUUCUUUGACUUUCACCGCUGUCCUGCACAAGAAAACUCAAAAGGGUUCAGAUGAAAGAACUUUAUGAAGUUUUUAUUGUUACACUACUGAUCACGUUGGGAUGAUGUUUCUGAUUCCUGUUUCUUUUAGGAUCAGGGAGUCUGGACAUGACUGACAUAUUAUCAAAAAGAGUUUCUUUUGGUGUAUUUUGGUAACUUACGUGAUCAAAAGAUUGGCUUCAGUCAUUUAAUUGACUUCCUGAUGUGUCACCUGUGUUCCUGGUAAUCGGCUGGUAAUGCAGAGAGGUUUGCAUGAUUAGGUCCUGAGACGUUAACUGGGGCACAGAAGAGGUAGAGGACAGUUGGAGGAAUUUAAAAAGAUCCUGCAAAAACUUCCAUGUUUCAUCUACUGGCUUAUCCAUAUGGUCCUUGAAGUCUGCUCAGCCCUCCAUCUGUCCGGGACAGUGUCUCACAUGCUGAGGAGCCCAGCGAGCACGGCGGCACCGGCCCUCUGUGAACAUGUGUUGCAGCGGCUGAACCUUGCAGCCUGCCUGCCUGCCUGGGGGCAAUUAGGGAGCCGAGCCCUGUGGUCAGAGGCCCCCCUGGGAAGUCCUGAUUGAUUGGAGUCUCAUCUUCCUAACAGGCUGGCAUCCUGCCACAAACCCAUGGAAAAGCAGAGAGGAUUGAGAGGGGUAAAAAGAAGGAAAACCAUGACAGAGAGAGAGACAAGGCGCACAAGUGUUUGCAGCAAAGAAAAAAAAUGUCUCUGCUCAUGUAUGUCAGAUGACAACGAUUAUACUGUAGUAAUCUUGGAUUGCUCUAGUAGUCUUAGGGAGGUUAAAAAACCCCACAGUGACUGUGGGAAUGAGUGCAUAGGUCAACAUGAAAGCACUGCAGUGAGAACGCGGAGAUACAAUUUCUAUCAAACUAUAUUUAUUUUCAGUAGAUCUCCAUUUGUUCCAGAAUAUGAACAUCAACAAUCCGGACAAAAUCCAAAAGAAAUAAAACAACGAUAUCACUAAGACAGACAUAACUAUCUUCUGUACAUUUUCACAGAUAAUAAUAAAAAUAACUAAAACUAGUGCAAUGUUGUCUGU